rnacentral:lncRNA from 1 species
GGGCGUUUAACUGAUGUUAAAACUGGGCAGUGAUAUGAGAUGUACGGUGGAUUCGUUUAAGAGGGAUGAAACUCGGUCUGAAGCGAAUAUAUGAUCAAGCGGUAGUCUUGGAUAUAUCUUAUCGUGUAGUUCCAGGAAGUUUUCCAGGUUGAAGGGGGCUGUUUAACUGAUGGUAAAACUGGGCAGUGAUAUGAGAUGGACGGUGGAUUCGUUUAAGAGGCCGAACGCAGAUUGAAGGGGGCGUUUUAACUGAUGGUAAAACUGGGCAGUGAUAUGAGAUGUACGGUGGAUUCGUUUAAGAGGUAUGAAACUUGGUCUGAAGCGAAUAUAUGAUCAAGUCUGCUCCUUAUUAUUUUGCAAGGCCCCGUCUUUCAAUAAAAAGUCAUUUU